GAUGAAGAACGUAGCGAAAUGCGAUACGUAAUGUGAAUUGCAGAAUUCAGUGAAUCAUCGAGUCUUUGAACGCACAUUGCGCCCCCUGGUAUUCCGGGGGGCAUGCCUGUCCGAGCGUCAUUGCUGCCCUCAAGCCCGGCUUGUGUGUUGGGUCUCGUCCCCCUUCCCGGGGGGACGGGCCCGAAAGGCAGCGGCGGCACCGCGUCCGGUCCUCGAGCGUAUGGGGCUUUGUCACCCGCUCUGUAGGCCCGGCCGGCGCUUGCCGAUCAACCAAAACUUUUUUCCAGGUUGACCUCGGAUCAGGUAGGGAUACCCGCUGAACUUAAGCAUACAAUAAGCGGAGGA
rnacentral:misc_RNA from 1 species